CACUCAUCAAAAAACAUAGAGAGAGAACUCUAAAAUUCUCUCAGAGCUCCGGCCAGUGGCCAUCCUGGCUCGUCUCGGAACACCAUCGCCUUCGGCCACACGCACUUCACGCGCCACCAUCUGAGCCACCGUGCUCGGCGGUUAGGGCUUUCAAAGCCCCAUUUUUUGCAGCGAAUCAAAAAGGUAACCCUUUUUUACUAUCUUUAUGAUGUAUUUUACUAUAUGCUGUAUCAAAAAGAAAAUAAAUAAUGAAAAGAAAAUUAAAAGUAUCACCUCUGUUCUUCAGUAAACUUUUAAUCUCUUUUUAUAUAUUUUGUAUCCAAAAAAAAAACCAUCCCUCUUACAAGUUACAAAGGAGGCUUUUAUAGCCAUUGUUUCUAUUACAUUUUGGGAAGAAAUCUUUUAUUUCUUUCCAUAUUUGUUUUGUUUGUUUGCUGCUAUUUCUUUCUUUCUUUUGCAGGUAAUCGAGGAAAGUAGACCACCGGCAUUGAUUCGGCCGUAGGCCACAGCAUGGUUCGAAGCCCGGGAACCACGGCACUGAUUCGGGUCGUUGCGAGACGAAAGGACACGAGUCGAAGGGGCGUGACUCUUGGUUUAAUUGCGGCGCAAACCCUAACUAGGGUUCCCUGAAGCUGAAGACAGAUUGGGCCAAUUGGGACGAUUAAGUCUUGGGUUUAGAGUAUCAGGGGUAGGGUGUAAAUGGGUCUGCUGGGUAGUUCUAAUUUUGAGCCUACGGGCUGUUGUAAAUGGACUGUUUAAAAAUAAACAUUCAUUUAUUUUUUUGGUUUUAAAGCUCGGGCAAAUUUAGGUUAUUACAUGUUUAAAAUAACAUAGAUCGAAUAAUAUAUAAAUCAAAUAUAUGUACCAAGUAUAUGAAUAAUAAUAGUUUAAAUAAUACAUAAAAUAUGUGAAUUUU
rnacentral:lncRNA from 1 species